CAAGCUUCGGGUUCUCUCACAGGGAAGGUGCAGGGACGUUAGCGUUAGUGCUAUAGUCUGUUGGGGUUGAGAAGCUUUGUGCCAGCUCCCCUGCUGUUGAUUCAGAUCUUUCAGAGGAGAGCAGCAAUUCUCUAACAGCGUGUGCCCUCAUCAUGACCAGAUCUCCGGGAUGACUCAGAAAAAGAGGCAUGGACGUGGCCCUGUGAAAGGACCAUCUCUUUUCAGCAUGGGGCAGGAGCCAAACUGUACCCUGGAACACCUACAGAUAUCAUUGGUUUGACCUGGACAAGAACUCAGAGGCGGGCACCGUGGACUAAACCACUCCAUGGGCUUGGCGUUACACAUCACCUGUCAACUUCCUUUAACUUGGCUAUAGCAAGAAAUGGAUCUUGUCAUGACAACGACGAUGAUAAUGGCUAUGAGAUCGAUGGUGAUGAUGAUGGUGAUGACAAUGACAUUUGGGGAAAACUCUUAGACUCUG
rnacentral:lncRNA from 1 species